UGUCAGUUUAACAGAAAAGCCCUCAGGCUGUAGCUUGACAAAAAGACACAGGGGUAUUGACAUCCAGGUAUGUUUCCAGAUUUGGAUUAUGAUGUGACAACCUGAUGACAAGUUCUAUUGAAACAAUUAGUGAAGUGAUUCUAACCCGAGAAUAACCCAAAUGAUCUCCCAUACUUCAUUUAUCAAGAUCUCCCUCAACAGAUAAAAGGAUAAAGAAAAUGUGGAUGUCUUAGAUGGCUGAGGAGAACAGAAAGUAAAGCAAAACAGUCUGGAAUUUAAAAAAGGAGGAUGGACUGGGGAAGAGUGUUUCUUACUACAAGAAAAUGGAUUUGGACUUAGACUUACAUCUCUGCUUCUUUUGAGUUCUAUGUGAUGCAUCCAUUAACUUUCCUUGGGAGCUGAACCAUUUUUGAAACAUUGUACAUGAAUGAGGCUGUAUAAGGAGAUUUCUGAAACCUUGUGAGAAAACUCCAAAUAAACAAGAUGAAAACUGAGAAGGGUUAUGCAUCUAUCAUUCCAGAGGGAUAUACUGAAACACUGUUGAUAAUUCUCUAGCUCCUUCAGCCUUGGACCAUCAAGGAUGACUGCAAAAAGCAAGGAGACAAUGGAAGUCACCAGAAAAAUAACUAACCUGCAAUUAAAGAGAGACAAAAUUUACCCAUGGUUCAUGUCACCACUGAAA